UACGUAGGGGGCAAGCGUUGUCCGGAAUCAUUGGGCGUAAAGAGCGUGUAGGCGGCCAGAUAAGUCCGCUGUGAAAACUCGAGGCUCAACUUCGAGCUGUCGGUGGAAACUAUUUGGCUAGAGUCCGGAAGAGGAGAGUGGAAUUCCUGGUGUAGCGGUGAAAUGCGCAGAUAUCAGGAAGAACACCCGUGGCGAAGGCGGCUACCUGGCCCACUCUUGACGCUGAGGCGCGAAAGCUAGGGGAGCAAACGGG
rnacentral:rRNA from 1 species